rnacentral:rRNA from 1 species
AUUGAACGCUGGCGGCAGGCCUAACACAUGCAAGUCGAGCGGUAGAGAGGAGCUUGCUUCUCUUGAGAGCGGCGGACGGGUGAGUAAUGCCUAGGAAUCUGCCUGGUAGUGGGGGAUAACGUUCGGAAACGGACGCUAAUACCGCAUACGUCCUACGGGAGAAAGUGGGGGAUCUUCGGACCUCACGCUAUCAGAUGAGCCUAGGUCGGAUUAGCUAGUUGGUGAGGUAAAGGCUCACCAAGGCGACGAUCCGUAACUGGUCUGAGAGGAUGACCAGUCAAACUGGAACUGAGACACGGUCCAGACUCCUACGGGAGGCAGCAGUGGGGAAUAUUGGACAAUGGGCGCAAGCCUGAUCCAGCCAUGCCGCGUGUGUGAAGAAGGUCUUCGGAUUGUAAAGCACUUUAAGUUGGGAGGAAGGUCAGUAGCUUAAUACGUUGCUGAUUUGACGUUACCGACAGAAUAAGCACCGGCUAACUCUGUGCCAGCAGCCGCCGUAACAC